GAGAGGCUGAGGAUGGGGAGUGAGAAAGGGGACGCGAGCGAAAGCCACGAGCUGCUUUGAUGCAGGGUGAGCAGCCUCCUCGCUCUCUCACUUCUGCUCCUUUGGAGCUGUUGCUGCCUCCUCGUAGUCUCUUUAAACUAUUUGCUGAGUCUCGGAGCGGGCUCCCUCCUGUUUCCUCAGCUGAAGCAGCGCAGGGAGAGCAGCGUAAAAUACUUCGCGAACAGCUAAGCAACUUUCUGUGCGCGACGCGUGUGAUCAGACCCGUGCCGAGCCUGGGCUGCAGGCCCCUCGAGGAUGCCAUUGAGGAUGAAGAAGAAGAAUGCCUGUCUGAGGAAAACGAUAUUAUCUCUAAAGAAGACUUUCCAUUGGAGGGAAGCUUCUCUGCAGAGUUUGAGCCUGAAAAUCUGAGCUGUGAAGAAGUGGAAUACUUUUGUAAUAAAGGCAAUGAAGAAGGCAUCCAAGAGGCAGCAGAAUCAGAUGGUGAUGCAAGGUCAGAGAAACCAGGGCAACUUACUGUGGAGACAGAAGAUUGGGAUGGGCCAGUUCAGCUCUGCAGGAAGGGAGAGAGCAGGAACAAGACGCAGCUUCAGAAAUGGGAUGCAAGGAAAAUACUAGAGGAGAAGAGUUUGGCUGUUUGGAUUUGCAGCUUAGUGAACCAGGAGUCUGGAGCAUGAAAACCUUGUGAUGUUGGGAGACUGAGGGGUGAGAGAUAUUUUGUAUUAUUACUUGUGCAGAGUCCAACACUCAUGAGAUAAAAAGGCCAAAUUGGAAUUUCACUUGAUGGAGUCCUGCACAUCAGAUACCCUCCUAUCUGGGGCUGCCAGUAAUGCAGCAGAAAUGCCAAAAUGAGAGGUAUUAGGUAGAAAACUCACAGCAGCCUGCUUUUCUGGAACUGGACAAGAUGAAUCAGACCUAGUGCAACAGAAAAGUCAAGCUUGCAUGAAGAGGGGCUGAAGAUUGUCAGAGCCCACAAUCAUCAUCCUAAAAUAUUCCAGAGAAAAUCAUUACAGAAUU